rnacentral:rRNA from 1 species
AUUGAACGCUGGUGGCAGGCUUAACACAUGCAAGUCGAGCGGAGAUGAGGUGCUUGCACCUUAUCUUAGCGGCGGACGGGUGAGUAAUGCUUAGGAAUCUGCCUAUUAGUGGGGGACAACAUUCCGAAAGGAAUGCUAAUACCGCAUACGUCCUACGGGAGAAAGCAGGGGAUCUUCGGACCUUGCGCUAAUAGAUGAGCCUAAGUCGGAUUAGCUAGUUGGUGGGGUAAAGGCCUACCAAGGCGACGAUCGGUAGCGGGUCUGAGAGGAUGAUCCGCCACACUGGGACUGGGACCCGGCCCAGACUCCUACGGGAGGCAGCAGUGGGGAAUAUUGGACAAUGGGGGAAACCCUGAUCCAGCCAUGCCGCGUGUGUGAAGAAGGCCUUAUGGUUGUAAAGCACUUUAAGCGAGGAGGAGGCUACUGAGACUAAUACUCUUGGAUAGUGGACGUUACUCGCAGAAUAAGCACCGGCUAACUCUGUGCCAGCCGCCGCCGUAACAC